AGAAAUCUCACCAGGCCCGGACACUGGAAGGAUUGACAGAUUGAUAGCUCUUCCUUGAUUCGGUGGGUGGUGUUGCAUGGCUGUUCUUAGUUGGUUGAGUGAUUUGUCUUGUUAAUUCCGUUAACGAACGAGACCUUAACCUGCUAAAUAGUGACGCGGUUCAUCGAACCGUGGGCCACUUCUUAGAGGGACUAUCGGAUUCAAACCGAUGGAAGUGUGAGGCAAUAA
rnacentral:rRNA from 1 species